rnacentral:rRNA from 1 species
GUCGAGAAUAAUUCACAAUGGGGGAAACCCUGAUGGUGCAACGCCGCGUGGAGGAUGAAGGUCUUCGGAUUGUAAACUCCUGUCAUCUGGGAGUAAGACCUGACGGUGAAUAGCCGGCAGGGUUGAUAGUACCAGAAGAGGAAGGGACGGCUAACUUCGUGCCAGCAGCCGCGGUAAUACGAAGGUCCCAAGCGUUGUUCGGAAUCACUGGGCGUAAAGGGAGCGUAGGCGGCGUGGUAAGUCAGAUGUGAAAUCCCGGGGCUCAACCCCGGAACUGCAUCCGAUACUGCCAUGCUUGAGGGUUGGAGAGGUAGCUGGAAUUCUCGGUGUAGCAGUGAAAUGCGUGGAUAUCGAGAGGAACACUCGUGGCGAAGGCGAGCUACUGGACAACAUCUGACGCUGAGGCUCGAAGGCUAGGGGAGCAAAAGGGAUUAGAUACCCUGGUAGUCC